CCUCUCUAAAGUAGUGUCAGGACCAAGCGGUUCAGGUGGGGCAAGAUUCAUUAGGCUUCUGCAUGAAUUUUCAGGGCAACAAGUGCAUAUGAGCAUCCUGUUUGGGUGCACGUGUCUGCCAGUCCACGCCAACGUUUUAGUCCUUCGGGUGGUUUAACCAGGUCCGGCAGAGGGGCAGCAAGCUGAAAGGCCCCGUGUGCCUAGCACAGAUCAGGAAUGCAAACACUUUGACAGCGAUGAUCCUCUCGGCACCCCCAGCACAAAGAAAGCUGCAGUACGAAUCAGAGCUCAGGCACUACGCGGGCACAAGACCACGGGACACCAAGCUUCAGGCGUUUUGUAGGUCUCCUCUUUACUUCCAACGGGUUUCUCUCCAUCGCUACAUUUAGCAGCUGGUUUUCCUUCUCAAAGCAUUUAAAUUACUGUAUCUCAGGUGGUAAAAAGCAGGCGGGGUGGAAUGUUGAUUUGAUUUAGAAACAGGGUCAGCAGUGGGUUUCAUUUGGAAAGGAGCACAGAGACAGGCCUGUCUUUUGAAGGAAACAGCAAGAUCCCAGGCAAGUGGCUGUAUACCCAGCACACUGGACUAGGUGCUCGUACCCCGCAAAGUAACCUUAAACAAGGUGUACCUGAGAAGCUGUCAUGAGUUUCUAAAAUGCCCAAAGUGUCUGAUGCCAUCCAAUGAAGGGUUCUGAAACGAGAAAAGGCUGUGGAUUUCCCACCUUGCUCCCAGCUGGUAAUUGCAUUCCUUACUGUUAGUGUGUACAUGAGGCCAUGGCAUGCUGCGCGAAGAUGUAUUUUGUUACGCAGGAUAGAGAUGAAGAACUUAGGCAAUACUGGCAAAAGCUUGGCAGGGACUUUAGUGUCACAAAACUCAAAACUUAUGAGGGACCAGAGUGCCUGUAAGGAGAGGUGGAAGAUCGCUCUCAGCACCCGUUCCAGAUGCAGAAUGCUCCAGAGAAAACCACACCAUCCGCACAUGCUCCUGCCCUGUGCUCACACGAGGUCCUGGGUGCCCGCCUGCCCCUGCAGCAUCCCAGCAUGUGAUGCAAAUGUGAAGGCAUCCGGGGCAGCCACGAGCUGGGAACAUGGGAACAGCUCGCAGCAGACAUCCAGCUAUCCUGUGGCAAGGCACACCCGCGUCCUGGCCUGGGGAUGCGCACACCUUUGCCCAGAUGGAGCCUUCCACCCUCAGAGCUCUUCAUCCAUGGUGCCCCAGCUUUAAUGCCACUGAAACAAGGGAAGAUUAUCCAUGACAGGAGAUACUGGUCACCAGUGGAGUAGGUCAGCCUACAGGAAGAAACAGAGUAGGACCAACAGAUUCUGCAAUACCUACUGUUAACUGCUGCGCUUUGUGUUAAUGUAAUGUUUUUCCAAACCCACGGGACAUGUCAGACUGUAUCAAGUAUAAACACACCUAAAGGAGAGUCUUGCUGCUUCUGUGAAACACAAGCAGAGCUAGUAAGACCUAAUUCUGCGCUCAUUCUAUGUCCGUCAGAGUGACUCGACGCUGUCUGCCAGCAGGCUGCUGCAGAAUCACACCAAUACGCUUGCACGAUAAUAUUGCCCUGAGCAUAAGAAUACUUGAUAGCGGAUCUAUCCUUUAUCUGGUGACUUCACUGCUGCAGGUUUAUGGCCUUGAGGAUGUAUAUGCCACUUUUUUUCAAGUCUAAUGUCUGAUCUGCAAUCUGAGUUUCUCUACGAAAGCAAAAGGAACUAAAUUGUAUUUUACCAUUAACUAUUAAAUGGAGUUUUG
rnacentral:lncRNA from 1 species